rnacentral:rRNA from 1 species
ACUCCUGCGGGAGGCAGCAGUGGGGAAUUUUGGACAAUGGGCGAAAGCCUGAUCCAGCAAUGCCGCGUGUGUGAAGAAGGCCUUCGGGUUGUAAAGCACUUUUGUCCGGAAAGAAAUCCUUGGCUCUAAUACAGUCGGGGGAUGACGGUACCGGAAGAAUAAGCACCGGCUAACUACGUGCCAGCAGCCGCGGUAAUACGUAGGGUGCGAGCGUUAAUCGGAAUUACUGGGCGUAAAGCGUGCGCAGGCGGUUUGCUAAGACCGAUGUGAAAUCCCCGGGCUCAACCUGGGAACUGCAUUGGUGACUGGCAGGCUAGAGUAUGGCAGAGGGGGGUAGAAUUCCACGUGUAGCAGUGAAAUGCGUAGAGAUGUGGAGGAAGACCGAUGGCGAAGGCAGCCCCCUGGGCCAAUACUGACGCUCAUGCACGAAAGCGUGGGGAGCAAACAGGAUUAGAAACCCUGGUAGUCCCAUGAU